rfam:Daucus carota subsp. sativus cultivar DH1 chromosome 6, whole genome shotgun sequence.
AUUGCAAAUGACGAAAAAAAGACAGGGACAUCAGAGCUCCUUGGAGUAAAAGAUGACUUGGUCGAUGGGAAUCUCUCUGAUGCUAU